rnacentral:rRNA from 2 species
AGUAACGGCGAGUGAAGCGGCAACAGCUCAAAUUUGAAAUCUGGCCCUAGGCCCGAGUUGUAAUUUGUAGAGGAUGCUUUUGGCGACGUGCUUUCCGAGUUCCCUGGAACGGGACGCCAUAGAGGGUGAGAGCCCCGUACGGUCAUGCACCUAGCCUCUGUAAAGCUCCUUCGACGAGUCGAGUAGUUUGGGAAUGCUGCUCUAAAUGGGAGGUAUACGUCUUCUAAAGCUAAAUACCGGCCAGAGACCGAUAGCGCACAAGUAGAGUGAUCGAAAGAUGAAAAGCACUUUGAAAAGAGGGUUAAAUAGUACGUGAAAUUGCUAAAAGGGAAGCACUUAUGACCAGACUUGGGCCCGGUUAAUCAUCCAGAGUUCUCUCUGGUGCACUUGGCCGGCCCAGGCCAGCAUCAGUUCGCGUCGGGGGAUAAAGGUUUCGGGAAUGUGGCUCCUCCGGGAGUGUUAUAGCCCGUUGCGUAAUACCCUGGUGCGGACUGAGGUACGCGUUCUGCAAGGAUGCUGGCGUAAUGGUCAUCAGUGACCCGUCUUGAAACACGGACCAAGGAGUCGUCUUCGUAUGCGAGUGUUCGGGUGUCAAACCCCUACGCGUAAUGAAAGUGAACGUAGGAGAGAGCUUCGGCGCAUCUCCGACCGAACCUGAUGUUCU